AUGGAUCAAUGUAGAGGUUCAACGUAAUUUCACAGUUGACAGUGCCGUUAGAGUAAAAAUGUUUUACAGCCCUCCUCGUCAGCCACCACAAUGGAACUGGAGUUCAUCCCAUCCAUUCCUCUCCAAACCCCUCCUCAGACCCAAAAUCACUUCUCUCUCUCUCUCUCUCUCUCCUGUCACCACUGGACCUCAUAACCAAAUCACUCCCUUUCGCUGUCUAACCAAAUUCCAAUCUUUGAAAGGCUAUGGACAUUGGAAUUGGAUGAAGACAUUGGAGCAUAGCGAAAAGGAAACACAAAAUCGAAGAUCAGAAUUGAAAAAAGAAGGCAAGAAGCCGCAGAAACAGGCCAUCGCCUGAGCAGAAGCGCGAAGGGCGAAGUUUAUCUCCACCGGCUCUUACGAGAUCGAGGAGAGAGGAAACCCACAGCGAGAGGAAGGGGAAUAAAUGGUUGCUGCUUUUAACGGAGCCCCAUGUUUCAUUAUAGCCUUUGCAGAAGCGAUAUCAAGAUUCAAGAUUCAAGGUCGCUGUUUCAUUCUAGCCGUUGCAGAAACCGUACCAAUAAAAGACAUCGGGUUAUUGAGUUUGGGCUCUAAUUGAAACUUAAAAGACAUCGGGUUGAACUGGUAUAUGGUAUAAGGCAGGGACAGCAGCUGCAGUCAAAGUUCUAGAGUUUCAGUUUGAGAGUGAGCCUCUGUCUAUUUAAACUCAAAUAUGUAAUAGUGCCCUGCUGAGGUACUUUCUUUUUCCUCAAUAUUUACUAUUUCAAAACUGGGUUUUUUCUUAUAGAUGAAUGAAGAUGCUUUUUAUGUUUUUAUCUCUCUGAUCGAUAGUAUUUGAUGUAUUUGCUUUCUGGGGGUUUCCUUCUGCCUUUACUUUGGUACCCAGUUACGAUUUUCAUGCCAACUUAACUUUUGUUUUUGGUUUCAACUAAAUUUCUGCUUUAUGUAUUUGUUUUUGUUUUCGGUUUCACUUUGGUUCCACAAAUGGUGGUCUUUCCCAUAAUUGCAGGUUACUUUAGAUUAAAGCAUUGUUUCCUUUAUCAUAAUGUUAUGAUAGUUUUGUCUUGUUUGUAUUUAUGUGUUCUGUAACUUCAGUUUAACUAAUGUUAUGGCUUAUGGGAGCUGGCACUCCUGGCAGGAGUAGAAUCAGCAUAUAGAAAGAACAAGUAUUCUGGUAUCUAGUCCUCCAGUGGUUGACUUCUUUUGUUUUACACAGGUCAUAUUUUGCCUUUUUUUAAUUUUCUCUACCUUUUCAAUUGGGUUAACAAAUUCUAAACUGUGACCCUUGAUUCCUAGACCCUAAAUAUUUUCUGUUACAGACUGCAUCAGGAGAUGUGAUACUUUUCAUUUAUAUGCAGUAGUUUUCAAGUGGAACUGGAACAGAUGUUUGGGGAUUGUAUGGAACGUGGCACAAAAUGAAAGGAAUGUGCUCUGAGGCUUUGUUAAAGAUAGUGAGAUUGUACUAGGUGAUGUGUCUGCACAUUGUGAAAAUCAUGACAGGAAUAUGACCUUAAAAUGCAGUCAAUGCACCUAUUGCAGCCCAUGAUCAGUUUGUUCUGGUUCUAUAAUUACAAGAGAUCCACAGACGGGGAAGUUUUUAGAAAUGAGAUGGAAUUAAUGGGUGCUUUCUUAACACCAUAUAAGGAUUUUUUCUCCUUUGACAAUGGAGUUUGAUGGCCUGAAAAGUAGGUAUCUGAUUAGCCUUUGAAGUUGGAAUUCUCCAUCUUGAAGUUGAGUUUGAUAGUAGAGCGGCUGGUAGCUUGGUAGUCUCUAAUGAGAUGUGCUGACAGAGAGUGGGAUGAUAAUAGUGUCGUUCUAAUUUUAUCAGACAUCCCCAAGACCCCAGAGGGAUCUAAAAGAGUGCUGUUGAAGAAUUGUGGUGCAACCAAGGUCUGCUUCUAACUGAGGGAAUGCAACAAAGUGGUUCAUGUGUUGGCUAGAUUCAUAGUGAAGGAAUGUAUUAAUAUCUUUUGUAUUGAAAUUGGGCCAGGCUUAUGUGAUUGAUAAAUAUCAAUGCUAAUAUUUGUAAGUUUGUAACCUUUCUUAUGAUUAAUGAAUGAUUACCUAUUCGUUUGGAAAAAAAAGUGUAAGAUUUAAGAGAA